UCUCGCACACUGAGGAAAGAAUAGGGUGGAGGCGUUGAUGGUGUUGGCGCAGUCUAAGUGGGGGUUAGAGAGCUUGCACAAGGACUUGGCUGCUGUGGUCCAGGCGGGUCGGAUCCACUGGGGCUGGACCAUCACCCCUAUUCUUCACGAUGCCACUGCCGUUCUCCGAGCCAGAGGAGGAAGAUUCAGCCUUCAAUAAGCAUUUUUGGAUCUGGGUUUUCGUUCCCCUGAGGGAAUCUCCAAGAACCCCAAUGGUCAAUGGCUUCUAAUUCGACGGUGAAAAAGGCGAAUAAGGUUUGCUUCUUCUACGGCGCUGAGACCAAAAGCCCUCACCGAGAAUGUCGCGGCCCAGUCCAACUCCAUCGAGCUCUGUAGCAUUACUUAGAAGAAAUUUGAUGAUGGAUUCCCCAACAUUUUCAGACCCAAUGCUCGUGGAAUUCGAGGGCAACAUGUGGCGUUUCUUGCCUCGUUUAGCUCCCCGUCGCGUAUGGAGGAUGAUAGAGAUGUUGCCACCGCUUUCAUGUUUGCCAGGGUCUUGUCAAAUAUUCCAAUUUCGAUGGGAGGGCCUACUAGUUUAGUUAUCUAUGAUAUCCAUGCCUUGCAGGAGCAGUUUUACGUUGGUGAUAAUAUCUUACCGUGCUUUGAAAACGAGAUCCCUUUGCUUAAAAAUAGGCUCCAGCAGCUUCCUGAUUUCGACAAUAUAUCCAUUGCUUUUCCUGAUAAUGGUGCGUGGAAACGAUUUCAUAAGCAGCUAUAUCAUUUCCCUACGGUGUCGUCUUGCUUUUACAAAUGAGGAGUGCAUAAGCUGGCUGCUUUCCAAAGUGGAAAGGAACAGCGUCACCAAGUGGAAGCCAUCCCUGCCAGCUCAACCACCAAGCAAAGAAAAAGAAAGGCCCAUCACUCUACAAAGCAAAAGCAAAAGUAAAGCAGAAAAGGAAAAGAGAAAAGAAGAAAAGGGGAAAAAUUAUAAGAUUCCUAUUAUUACAAUUCCUUUUGUCUACCAGGUGAAGAGACAGAGAGAGUGCGACGGAAAGCAGAACGUAAAAGCAGAAGGCAAAAACAAGGAAUAAACAUCCCACCAGAAUGAUGUGGUUUACUUUUCUUGUUUCUAAAUGGUGUAAAUUAUUUUUCUUAUCUUUCGGAGACAUCUGUAUAAACCCCAUCAGAGGGUAAAAAAAAAAAAAAAAAAAACAGCUAAGCCCAAAAUAAAUGGGCUGGAAUGUUGUGUGGAGAGCAAAGGCCCAUAAGCCUAAAAUAGCACCAACCAAGUUAUCAAAAGUACGCCCAGUACUCCACAAUUAUUCGGCAACCCGCUGCUAUUACCACCAACCAGGUGAUGAAAUGUACAACCCGUACUCUAAUAUCAUUUGGCAACUAGCCAUUCAUGCCACCAACCAGGUGAUGAAAUGUACAAUCCAUACUCUAAAAUCAUUUGGCAACUAGCCAUUCAUGCCACCAACCAAGUGAUGAAAUGUAUAACCCGUACUCUCCUUCAUACCACCAACUAGGUGAUCAAAAGUACGCCCGGUACUCCAAAUUAUACAUGAGCAUUACUCAUGUCAUUCACACAUAAACAUUCAUGAGCAUCAUUCAUGACAAUUAUACAUAAACAUUCAUGACCAUCAUUCAUGUCAACAAUCAUGAGCAUCACUCAUGUUAACAUUCAUGAGCAUCACUCAUGUCAACAUCCAUGAGCAUCACUCAUGUCAACAUCCAUGAGCAUCACUCAUGUCAAUCAACAUAAACAUUCAUGAGCAUUACUCAUGUCAAUCAGCUUUAAAAGCUUCAUUUACAAGACUCUAGCUUUAAAAGCGUCAUUUACAGAGCUCUAGCUUCAAAAGCUUCACUUGCAAAGCUUCACCUACAAAGCUUCAGUGUAGGGUAUACAAAUACCACAUCCGAACAACCACCACUUCGGCCCGUACACGGAUUCAAUUUGAAGUCUCCAGCUAACAGACUCUAUUGACCGAAGACUUGGGGGACUACAUUAUGUACCAUAUAUUGGGCCUCAACUGGGCCUCAUGAAAAAUACUUGGAAGACUUAGCCCAUUGUUUAUGUAUUAAGGAGCGAGCCCUUAUUCUAUAAAAGGGACUUCCUCACUUUCAUUAGAGAGCACCCAUUAUUCAUGUACUGUGGAGUGAGCCCUUAUUUUAUAAAAGGGACUCCCUCACCUUCAUUAGAGAGCAACGCCACCAGCUGAGCAACCGCCUCGCCGCGAGCAUCACUUCUAACCCAUCACUUAUGUAUUGAGGAGCGAUCCCUUAUUCUAUAAAAAGGACUCCCUCACCACCAUUAGAGAGCAUCGUCACCAGCUAAGCAACCGCCUCGUCGCAAGCAUCACUCCUAACCCAUCACUUUUGUAUCGAGGAGCGAGCCCUUAUUCUAUAAAAUGGACUCCCUCACCACCAUUUUUAGAGCAUCACCGCCUACUGAGCAACCACCUUGCCACGAGCAUCAACUCUAGCCCAUCAUUUAUGUAUUGAGAAGUGAGCCCUUAUUCUAUAAAAGGGACCCCCCCACCUUCAAGCGCCACAAGUUGAGCCAACCAAGGCAACAUAAGCACAAGCUGAGCAGCCUCACAACAUGUGCUACUUAUAGUUGAGCAUUAUUUCACUUUGAGCACCACCUCAUAUCAAGUACCAGUUCAAGAAGACAUCUAGUUACUUCGGCUCACACAUGGACUGAAUUUCAAGUAUCUAGCCAAAAGACUCUCUUGACUGAAGACUUGGGGGACUACUGUUUAUACCAUAUUUAGGGCCUCGUAUUUAGAUAUCGUACAAAUACUUGAGGGACUUAAAUGUAAUUAUGUGAUAAAGGAAGGGGCAAAUAUGUAAUAAGUGAGGAGUCCUUAUUCUAUAAAAGGACCCCUCACCUUCACAAUUAGGGGAGGCCAACUCUUAGGCCUAAAGCCCCCCCUCACCCUCUCACAUCUCCUCUCACAUUACAGAGGUUUCUCUCCCUCACAAUCCUCUCAUAAAUACAUAAUCAGUGUGGACGUAGCCCAAACCUUGGGGUGAACCACGAUACAUCUUGUGUUAUUUAUAUUACUUGCAGAUUCACGGUCGAAUUUACGUUGUACCAAGACCUCCGGUUUUGUGCAUCAACAAACUUCGCAGAAGUAACAGCCCUGUCUUCAGGCUCUAGAACCCGAAGGCCGAGAGUGUUCCUUCCUCAGCCCCAGUCAUGAGAUUUAGAAGUCAGCAGCACACCCAACGCAACAUCAACUAAUUUUACUCCUCGGCCAAGCUCGGCCGACAAGUUGGCACGCCCCGCAUUCAACCGAAGGACGUAGUUAGCUCAUAGAUUACUCGGCCUGCACGCCACGUAGGCUUGGUAGUUUUUAGGGUCAACAGAACCAAACUCCAGGAGAUGAUGAUGAUGUGAAAUUCAACAUGCAAAGGGUGAAGGAGAGGAAUUUCAACUAGAAAGAUUUGGAGCAAAGUAGCUGCUGAAAUAUGGUAACCAGUUAGAACCUUGAUUUUAAGUUCCAAAUACAGAAUAUCAAUGUCCUUCAUAAGAAUUAUAAACAAAGAGAAGAAUUCAAAGAGUAUGACCUUCACUGGUUUUCUCCAACUCCCAUUAAUUCCACUUUAAAUCGAGAAAAAUCUUGUUUUCCAAACGAAGCUAUUGAACAUCAAUGUCAUUCCACUGUUUUCUCUCUGCAUCAAUGAAGCGGAAAAUAUGUUAGUCCCAUCAUGUUGUCCUGGCUGAUAGCAUAUUUGAAAUAACACUGUUAAAAAUCAACAAAAAUUAGAAUGAAAUACAUAAUAACUGUACUAGAUUUAUGGAAAAGGAUUUCAUCCACCCAAUUUUCAGUGCCCACUACAAAAUGAAAAGAUAAAAAGUUUAGUCAUAAAAAAUCCACCGAAAAAUAUAAAGAUUACUAAAAUAAUUGGAAAUAUUACCCAGAAAAAACUUCAAACGGAAUUUCAAAAUAAACAUUGACAAAAAAUUAAAAAACAAAUCAUCAAAAACAAACAAAAAAGUUCAAUUGAGAAAGGGGUAUGCAAAAAUGAAGAAAAGAAUUGCGAAAAAGGGGUAUUUGCUGGAAAACAGAGACUCACAACCUUAGCUAAUUCAAGGGUGUAGAGUAAUUACCUUCACCGAACCCAUAAAAGGUCGGAAAGGCCUGAAAUUGGCCAGAAUAAAAUCAGAUUCUCGUCGAAAAAACCGCCGCAAGCUGUGCUUAUGAAACUCUUCAAUCAAUGGGUAGGUUCGAGCAUGCAAAGCUUAAAUGAUGUUGUUGGGACUGUCGUGAACUGAAUAGUUGUGGUUGCGGGCCAGCCGUCAUCGGAAAGCAUGUGAAAGUUGGGUUUUUCGUUCGAAGGCUAGUCGAAGAUGAGGAGAACGGCAAGAGGGAAGAGAGAAGGAGGAAGAAAAAAAUAUAAAGCAUAUAUAUACUUUCUGAGGCAGUGGCAAGAGAAGUAAUAACAUAAAAUUGGCAGGGGCAAAAUGGGAAGCACACUGUGCUUAUGAACAGUAACACAGUUGAUUUUGAGUUUUGGUAUAGAUUGAAUUUUUAAAUUCGUCAAAUUUUCCCACUUUCUUCAUUUUCUGCUUCUAGAGAUGGAAAAUUUCUUACUCACAUGGAAAUGCCACGCUCCAAAACUUAAUUUUAGCAACCAAAAAUGAAGAGAUAAGGAUGAGGUAGAGAUUUGCAAAGUGUUUUCCCCUUUUGGUUUGUUUGGGUACAAGGGUAGUAGAAAGCUACUCCUAAUUUUGAAGCUUGAUAUAUUUUUACAUAACAUUAAGGGUUAAGUACUUAAAACCCAACAACCUUUUAGUGUCGUUCUGAAUUGGUUUCAACCAUUUUAAACAUUUCAAACAAGUGUUCAACCCAUAAUGUCGCAUCUGCCAAGCCCUAUUAAAAAAUUUGUUAAAUUAACUAGACUUUGUUUGCAAUACCAAUAGAAGAUCAUAGAAGCAUAGCCUCCACCAACUAACGGUCACCACCAUUGGCUCCCAUCAGACCAUCACCUCCAAACCCAACGCAAAACCACAAACUCCACCUUACAACUCAAGCCCCCAAUAUUAAGAAGAAGGUCAUAGAGGUUGCUGAAAUGGUAUGGAUUGCCACUAUGCAACCACCACCAUCUUCAUCGCCCAUAAAGAAGAACUUGAAGCUUUACGAGUUGAGAAUCAGUGACUGAGGAAAUCACAAGAGCAUAGGCAAACUCCUUGAAACCCUAUCUGAAUUAACCCGGUUCUCUAUUACGAGAUUGCCUUCCUAAUGUAAUAUUAAUUUGGGUUCAUUUUCGAUUCAAUUCAAUAAUCAUUUGAUCAUUGAGUUCCAUAUUAUAUCAAUCUAUGUUUCAAGUUUAGAUUUUGAGACAAAUAAUAUUCAUGUUUUGAUCAUAAUAUUUUCAGUUGAUGGGUUUUGAAUAUAAUCUAUUUUUGCAUAAUGUUUUGAUCAUAAUAUUCAUGUUUUGAUCAUAAUAUUCAGGGGCAAACUCUCAACGUCGUAUUUUGGAAAUUAGGGAGGAUAUAAGGAGGGGUAUUGUGGAUGGUCAGGUACGACAAGAUUAUAUUGUGGCUAAAGAGAGAGAGUUGCAUGAUGCAUUGAAAGAGGAAGAAAAAUAUUGGAAGGUGAAAUCACGGAACACAUGGCUUUAGGAGGGUGAUAAAAAUACAAAAUUUUUCCACGCCCAAACGAUACAAUGAAGAAGAAGUAAUUGUCUACUUGUUUGGAAGAUAAUAAUGGAUAUUGGCAUAAAGACCCUCGUAGCAUGCAAAAUGUGGCUAUUUCUUACUUUGAGGAUUUAUUUUUGUCUGAUGCCGUAAGGAGGGGUGGGGAUGUCACGGCAUGUGUGGAAAAGAAGGUGGGGGAUGAAGAGAAUGAAGAGCUUAUUCGUCCAUUCUCGGAUGAGGAGAUUCGGAUUGCAACCUUUCAAAUUUCGGCGACAAAAUCACCAGGUCCAGAUGGGUUUACGGUCGGUUUUUUUUCAGGACCAUUGGGAGGUGGUGGGGGAGGAUAUCAUACGUAUGGUGAAAGCCUUUCAUCAUUCGGGGAAGAUGCUUAAAAAAUUGAAUCAUACACAUUGUGUUAAUACCGAAGGUGAAGAACCCGCGGUUGAUGUCCUAGCUGCGACCUAUCUCUGUGUGUAAUGUACUGUAUAAGAUAAUUGCUAAAGUCUUGACUAUGAGAUUAAGGAGAGUGAUUGCGAAGGUAAUUAGUCUUAAUCAGUCUGCUUUUGUUCCAGGUUGCCAAAUACAUGAUAAUAUUUUGGUGGUUCAUGAAAUUCUUCAUUCUCUUAAACAAGGGGUGGAUGGGGUGGAGGGAAGUAUGGCGAUUAAGUUAGAUAUGGCUAAAGCGUAUGAUAGGGUGGAGUGGGGUUUUUUAUUGGAGGUUAUGUUGAAGCUUGGUUUUCACCCUAAAUUUUGUGACUGGAUCUGGGAGUGCAUUUCAACAGUAUCGUACAGUGUUUUGAUGAAUGGUGUCCCUUUGGGAUAUAUUCUGCCGACAAGAGGACUAAGGCAAGGAGACCCAUUGUCACCUUUUUUAUUUCUUCUUUGUGCGGAAGCACUUUCUUCGUAUAUUCACAAAUAUGAGUUGGAUGGGUUGAUACAUGGGAUGCGGGUAUCGGUGGAAGUAGAGCCAAUUUCUCAUUUAUUCUUUGCAGAAGAUUCCGUCAUCUUUUGUCAAGCUAAUGAGUAUGAAGCUAGUCGGGUGAUGCGCAUUUUACAGGAUUAUGGUGACUCUUCGGGCCAGAUUGUUAACUUGGAGAAAAGCUCUAUAUAUUUUGGGAAGGGAUGCCCUAAAAAACAAAAAAAACGAAUCGUUACGAUGAUGAAUAUUCAAGCAAGAGAUGGAUUCGGCAAAUAUUUGGGGCUUCAGGCCGAUUUUGGGCACUCAAAGAAGGCGGUUUUUGAAUCUGUUAGACGUGGUAUUGGGUCCCGUAUUGACGGUUGGGCAGAACAAUUCCUUUCUCCAGUGGGUAAAGAGGUCUUAAUCAAAUCGGUAGCAAUGGUUAUGCCAAAUCAUGCUAUGGCUUGCUUUAAGUUACCGGUUGGAACGUGUAAAGAACUGGAACAAGUUAUCUCUCAAUUUUGGUGGAGGGGGCAAUCGAGAACGAAAUGGUGUCCUUGGGUGGCGUGGGAUAAGAUGACAAUGAGUAAAAAGUGUGGUGGUUUGGGUUUCCGGGACUUGAUUUGUUUUAAUUUGGCUAUGCUAGCAAAGAUCAGUUGGCGGGUAUUACAUAAUCCUAACUUUGUUCUUGGCCACUUACUUCGUGAUAAAUAUUUUCCUGCCACUUCUUUUUUGGAGGCUAAUAGGAGGAAUAAAUCAUCGUGGGGUUGGAAAUGGAUUUUACUUGGCCGUCAAGUAUUACUACGUGGUCUUAGGUGGAGAGUUGGUAAUGGAUUGAGUAUACAUGCGGCGAAUGACCCGUGGCUCCCAAAACCCCAUACAUUUCGACCUAUGAUGCAGCAAAGGGAUGUUGAUCCGCUUGUGCAGUCCCUUAUUGAUCCUGUGACUAAGGAAUAGAAGAUUGAACUUGUGACUGAAUUGUUUAAGCCGGAGGAUGCUGAAAUUAUUAGGGCUAUCGCGAUUAGUCAAAGUGGCUGUGAAGAUCGACGUAUAUGGCAUUAUACGAAAAAUGGGCUAUACACGGUUAAGUCAGGAUACUUUGUUGCGCUUGAGAUGAUGAAAAAUGGGGAAUUUGGUAGGAAGGGGGGUGGUAUGUCAAGCUCUUUGUGCUCGUUGGAUGGUCUUUGGCAAAAAACAUUGAUGUGAAAAUUAUGUUGACACUCAAAUUAACCCUCUUUUUAUCAAUUGUAGCAAAGUAUGUAAGUAGGGAUCGUUCUAAACCGCGGAUUAUGAGGGAUUGCAAAAUCACUUGAAAACUGACUCAAAUACGUAAAAACAAGUUUAAAACACUAAACUCGACUCAAAGAAUGCAAAACUAAACUUUAAAACACCAAAACAAACCAAAAGACUCAAAACAGCCCAGAAACACUCAAAACUGCCUUAAAACCACAAUCUGGGCAGUUUUGAGCACUAGACACAAACUUGGACGAAAAUUGGUUUUAACUUAACCUAAGACACUUAAAAACACAAACUAAAGUGAUUUCUAACUACUAUGACUCAACCAAGUAAAGGGGGAUUGAUUUUGGACGAAUUUAACUUUGAAAACAGAAACUUUGAAAACAAACUUUGACAAAAACGUUUUGAUGAAAAAUUAAGAUGGUGAAAGGCCAGUUAGAAGGUUCCUUCUCCACACAUGAAACAUAUGCAUACGACUCGAUUUCCAAUUACUCUUUCAAUAAACCAUGAAUGACAAUGCCCUAAAUUAACUAGAUUGACCAAUUAAUUCUCAGAUUUCCCUAGAUUCAUUGAAUUGAAUGGGAUACGCAUUACAACCAAAUUAUUCUUAUCAAGGACCCUAACUAUGGAAUACGCAUGAUAGAGACACAUAUCAAAGAUCAUUAAGUUCAAUGGAAAUCAUAAGCAUUGACGAGGCAUUCAUAACUAUGGGAUACGCAUGUUACUCUUGCCUAGGACUUACUUAACACAAUCGUGACUAGCGACUUUUACUACUUAUGAAUAUAAGUUAAUAACGAUUAGGUGAAAUUCCCUUAUAUUCUAGCAUCAAAUUCAUGCAUGCAAACUAAGUGUCGACCCUCAAUCAACAUACAUAAACAUGUUAUCAACCAAAUAGAUAAGUAAACCACAUUCACGAUUUAUGAAAUCAUAAUUGGAAGAAAUCAAGUCAUAUAAAACAUAUGAUCAUGACUUUGAAUUCCCCUCUAACUAUAAAGAAAUUAGUUCCUCAUGUUCGCAAAUAAACAAAGAUAAAUAAAUUUAAACAUUAAAACAAAGAUAGAAAACACCUAGAAUCGCUCCACAAUCCAAGCUCCUUGAAUGGCAUGCACGGCUCCAAGAGUUCUUCCUUCUUUUCCUUGCAAACUCACGGCACAAUGAGGUAUGUUUGAGUGAAUGGUGUAGUGAAAAUAUGGUAGAGGAUGGUGAAUGAAAGGGUGCGGCAAGGCCUUGUAUUUAUAGGCUGAAAAUCCCAUCUCCUAGGUAGCCAAGGACAAGGUUUUAAAAGCCUAAGUUGCAUAGGAUAAUAACAUACAAUCCUAUAAGGAAAACAAGUCAAAAACCCAAAGGAAUUGGGAGAUAAGGUGUGGCACAAAGAGUGUGAAAUGAUAAGGCUUCUAGAAAUCUGAAAUUCCAAGGGAAAUAAGGUAUAGGGUGCGGCACUUAUCUAGGAAGGGAUAAGGCUUCUAGAAAUCCCAUUUUAAGCAUCCUAAUCUAAUUAGAAACCCUCCUAAGUGGCUGAAAUGUGGAUAGUUUAGGAUAAGGAUAAGAUAGGAUAAGGUUUGAUUGGAUAAGAUAAGCUAAGAUAAGGUUAUGGAUGAGGUUUUGGAUAAGAUCCUUCUCUUGAGCUGAUUCUUUGACUUUACUCUUCUUCUUCACAUAGGAAACCUUGCUUGAGUAGGAACUUCAUUCGUCUAGGAAUCCAUCUUCAAUUAGGACUCCUUCAGUGAUUAGGAAUCCCAAUUCAUUUAGGAAUCCUUCAUUCAAGCCAUUUCCUUCUUCAACUAGGAAACUUUGUAUCUUCAAUUCUUCAACUUUGAAACACAUUCCUAGCUUCAUCAAUCCUUCAAAUUCGUCCAUCCUUUGUGCUUCAUGUGCAUGAACUUCAUUCUAGCCCAAUUUUGCUCCAAAAUGCUCCAAAUUGCGUCCUUUUGCUCACUUUGUCUCUAAAACCUGAAAACACAUGAAAAUAGCUUAAAAAGACUAACUUAACUAAGAAAACACAACAUAAAUGCAUAAGAACUAACUAACUAAGGCGCAUAAAUAUGCUCCUAUCAAACAUGGAAGGUGAUGGUUCCUAAUAAAAUUAGGUUGUUUCUUUGGCGAGCUUGCCGUCAUUCUCUUGCCGUGAGACAUAACUUGGAAAGGCGUCGAAUUCGAGUUAAGAAUAUAUGUGAAUUAUGUGGAGCUACUGAUGAAACAGAAGCACAUAUAUUCUUUAACUGUGACUUUAGCUGAGCAUUUUGGUUUGGCACAUCAUUACAAAUUGAUAUGAGUUCUUUUGGGGCACAAGACUUUCUGGGGGGGGGGGUGGAAAAUGCUAUUAGACCGUGUGGGUCAGGGACAGGAUGUAGAUUCAGUGCUUCAACGAAUUGCUUUUGGUUUGUGGCGUAUAUGGAAAUGUCACAAUGAAGCAGUAUUUAACGAUAAUCGUAUCAUGUCUCAUAUUGCAGAUGAGUUGUGGUGUCGUCAAGUAUCCGAGUUUCAAGAGGCGAUGGAAGUGGAUAAUGGGGAGGAGGAUAGAAGUGCACACCAGGUUUUGGUGGGGGAUGGUUCCCAGAUUGUGAUUAGCGCAAAGGGAUGGACGAAACCUGAGUUUGGCAGGUUAAAAUUAAAUACUAAUGCAGCAUGGCAGAAGGAAACAAAGGUAGGUGGCGUAGGGUGGGUCUUGCGCGAAUUUGCAGGAAUUCCAAAGAUGGUGGGAGGAAAUGGUGGGGACUAUUUCUUGUCAUCAGAUAUGGCUGAGGCGGCAACCAUAAGACAGGGACUGCAGAUGUGUGUUUUAAGGGGAUUUCAUGUGUCUGGGGAGGUUCUGGAGGUGGAGUCUGAUUCGGAAGGAUUGGUUCAAAUGUUAAAUAAGGAGAUUCAAGCUGAUGUGUUGCUGGAGGUACAUUUAGUUGAUAUUUGGAAUAUAAUGCAGUCAUUCCAAUCGGUGAAGUUUAUCUUUACCUCUCGACAAUACAAUCGUGUAGCCCAUAUGGUGGCGGCGUACGUUCUUAAGCAUGGUGGGAGUUAUGGUUGGGAUGAAUUAGGACCUCAAUUUUUGUUUAAUAUUUUAGCUGAAGAUGCAAAUAUUUCCAUUCGUAUUUGACGUUUAAUACAUUUCUAUCCCUUGACAAAAAAAAAGAGGAAAGUAUGAUGGAUUUGACUGUUGUGAUAGUGUGGUGGCUGUGACUGGUGAGAAAUGUGAUAGUGGGAGCGGCCUUUUAUAGCCACACGACAGAGUCAUGACUUUGAUAUGGAAAGCAUUAGGUAUGAUUUUCUGAAAUUCAUCGAAUUUUCCCACCAUCACAUUUCGUGCCCUAGAGAUGGAAAUUCUUUGAUAUGGAAGGCGCUGUUCGCUAGCUUCAGGAAAAGGUUCGUAAUUGUUGUUUACCUGUUUUAAUGGUGAACUGCCCAUUUAUACAUUUCCCUAAAGAUGUAAAUAGAGAACGUCAUCAUAAACGCACAUGAGUAGUUAAUUGCGUUAUAAGGACUAAUUUUGUUUUAUUUGUAGUUUUAAAUUAAAGGAGUUGUUGUUGGUAUUUCAAAAAUCUUAUUUUGCAUACCAAAUUUUCUAUAAUUAGAAAGAAAAAUACACUUGUAAGGAAUGCAAUCCAACUUGAGAAAUGCUUUGCUAAUUAACCUUGACAGCCUAAUGAUUCGUUGUUACAUAACGUUAAAAAACCAAAGCUUUAUUAUUGAUGUAACCAUUAAUAUUAUGGUAUAAGAUGACGUUCUCUAUUUACAUCUUUAGGGAAAUAUUUCGUAAAGCACUACAGACUCGUAAUCACUUGAAUUUUUCAUCUUAUACCAUCAAAUUACUAAGAUACUAAAACUAUUUUUGUAUUAUGGUCUAGUGGUAUAAGAUGAAAAAUUCAAGUGAUUACGAGUCUGUAGUGCUUUACGAAAUAUUUUUCAACAGUCGUAUAAAUUUGUAAUAAAAUUUUAAAAGAAUUAAUGGGGUAACAACACCAUGAAAAAAUAGCAUUGGCCUGGAGACAUGUAACUGAUGUAAGACAUCUGGCACCACACCUCCUAAUUUUUUUUGUGAGUGAGGAUCCUCGCCAGAUCCUCAAAUCAUAUAUGUUCAUCGUACAUCGUACGGUCAGAAAUUAUUGUAAAUUUUUUUUAUUUAAAAUUGAAUAUAAACAAUACUAAACGAAAACUGAUCGCACAAUAUACGAUAAACGAAUGUGAUUUGAGAAUCCCCGUAAUCCUCGCAAAGAGGAUCCGACGAGGAUCCUCUCUUUUUUUUGUUGGCAUAUUCAUAAGCCUUUUAGUUAAUAGGAUACUAGGUGGCAGACCCUUAUAGGAUAACUGUGGAGCCAAAAAUAAUCACAAGGCGACACGUGGAUUCUUGGGUAAAAGAGGAUAAAAAUACCCUUGAGGCAUACUGGGAUUCCUACGCGCGAGCAGCGGGCAAUCAUCCCUAAACCAAGUCAAAAGUGCCCAAAAUAGGUAUCAACUUAAAACCUAUUUCAUUCCAUAUAUUUCUUACCUCUUUUUCCCUCUUUUAGCUAAUCAAUUAGCUAUUUAUUUUAUUCUUUCCAUAACUUCUAUAACCUUCCUUCUAAAAAUCAUGAUAAAUGGCCAAUUAAGGGGUUAAUUGCCUAUUUAAUCCCUUAAAUUGUCAAUUAAGUGAUCCCUUUGACCCAUAAAACACCACAUGGCUGGCCAUCCUCCAUGUUUUCUACCUUUUCUACCAUAUUUUCCCUUUUUAAUUACCCUAAUUAAACCUAAAUUUAACCCAAAAACCCUAGCUAGACUGACCACCUCCUAUCCCUAUAUAUAGGCUCCCAUUUCCACCAAAAAGCAAUUCCAACACUUUGGCAAAAAUCCCAAAAUUCUCUAAACACUCUUUCUCUCUAAAUUCUAACUUUGGCAUCGGAGGUUCUUUAGCCAAAGCCCCCCUUCAUCGUGGGUGUGUGAGGCUUUUGGCCUUAACCUACGGUGUUAAUUGUUUUGUAGGUGCAAAAUUGUCCAAGAUCAAGGAGGAAGAAAUUUGCAUCCACAAAUUGGUGCUUUCAUUGAGAGUUGAAAUUCAUACUCGUAGAAGACUCUCGCACAAAAAGGUUUUUUCUUUAUUUUCUAGUCCAUUUGAAUAUUUUUCAUACGUUCUUAUUAUUAGAAUUUUUUACUUGCAAAUGUUCUUUGAUAAAACGUAUAAGCAAAAUAUAAUGGCUAGAAAUUUAGAAAAUUCCACAAGUGAAAAUUCUAAUGUUCAAGAAAUGGGAUUGCGGAGAUCCGUGAGGCUAAAUGCGACAAUA
rnacentral:lncRNA from 1 species